CUUGCCUGCAGACGGCCGUGGCCAGAGGAGGAGAAGGACUAUGAGAGAUGCCCGGAGGAGCGCCGCGUGGCCGCGGGCUGGGCGGUUUGCCCGCGGAGGACUCGUGCACAUUACCAGCAUGGUUCAAGGAUGAAGCCGGCGUGGCAGCUGUAAUGAAGCACGGUUCCUUCCACGGGGGGCCCGGGAGGCUUCGCCGUCACCCUGCCGUUCUCCAGAGACGUCCACACCCGCGGGCACAGCAGCACUGGAAACAAGAAGAGAGAGUUAUGGAAAGGUUUCACAGUCAGAUGCAUCCCUCAUUUAUGACGUCUGCUUCCAAAAAGAUGCCAGUUUGAGACUUCAGAGUGGGACGUCACUGACACCAUCUUUUAUAUACAGACUGUGGUGAAAAAACAUUAUGGAAGGCACCAAACAUGGCCAGACUGAACGAGACUCCCCCC